GGAAGUAAAAGUCGUAACAAGGUUUCCGUAAGUGAACCUGCGGAAGGAUCAUUAACGUAUAUGCAUAAUAUUGCUUUGUGGUAAAACACCAAGUAUCGUUUUGUUUAUAUGAAUAUAAUGUACCAGUUACAUUGUUUAAUAAAUGUGUUUGAAUACACAACAACUUUGAACGAGCAUACUCGUUGAAACAAGUAGACAUCGAAAUAUCGUCAUAUGUUUUACAUGUCAUUAUUUGUAUCACAGUAUGUCGGAGCCGUAACACUUGACGAACAGUCAAUUGUGGUAACCUAGUUCUCAUUAUAUUGGUGAGCACAUAAGGUGAGAUACGGCUAUGUAUCUCUACCUGAGGUUUUUAAAUGAACAUACGCCACAAAAUUGUGUUGAAAUUGUAUUUUCGUUGAGUAACUCCAUACGAUACGUUUAUACAUUGUGCAUUUGAACAUACAUGUAUUGCACAUAUAACAUUGAGCUCCAUUAUGCCGUAAGACAUAGGACGAAAUUCUUAUGUUCUGUGUACGGUUGGUGUGUGUUCUGGCAUAUAACCUGUGAGGUGAUCGACUAUUUGAAAGUACUCAGUCGUCAUUUCUAGCGUAUUGCCAGUCACAUAUCGUGUCUUGUAUGUUUCGAUGUUUAACAUUGGAACUCAAGAGAUUAUGAAACAAAGUAAUAACAUACAUUGAAAAUAUAUUUGAUUACCCUGAACGGUGGAUCACUUGGCUCGUGGGUCGAUGAAGAACGCAGCUAAUUGCGCGUCAACUUGUGAACUGCAGGACACAUGAACAUCGACAUUUUGAACGCAUAUUGCGGUCCACGGAUUUAAUUCCCGGACCACACCUGGCUGAGGGUCGUUUAUAAUAUGAAAACUGCUUACAGUUCAUGUUUAUUUGAAUAUACUCUAACAUGACUGGCUUUAAGCGUAUACAUUUGAAUAUAUUGAUUGGUUCGUUUAAUUUGAGAGCAUUUGAAUGUAUAUAUUGCUACUCAAUUUUGAACGCCGAUUGAAAUGAAGAUUUUUUUGUCUUAUGUGAAUUUAUUCAUGAAACCAAAGCUUAUUCUUCUCAGUGGCAGCAAUGUUGAAUGUAAAUUCUGCGAAAUUGUGAAGACUAUGAUGUGGAAUGUAAGCGUCAGUCUGUAGCCCAUCGUGUUGUCAACCAUUGUAGCAAUUGAAUAUAAAAUGCAUUCCACGGUGAAGAUGAUACUUGACUGAUGUGUAAUAUGAAUUUAUUGCCGAUUAUCGAGUCCCUGAGCUCCUCUACAUAGGAGUACAGAAGGACAGAUGUAGAUCGUGUGCAAUAUAGAAAAUUUGUAUAAUAUUGAGUCAGAUGAGUCUUUGCAUGGAAUAAUAAUGGUUGUUUACACCGAUGAACAGGCGAAAAUAUUGCAGGUACGUUCAUUGUAUAUUUUUCAAGUAAGGAUAUAUAAUUGCAUUCAUCAUUUAUAGUGGCACUUUUUUGUCAUUUGUUUUGCCACAGUUGAUUAUAUAUUUUGAAAUUAUAACUGACGACCUCAGAGUAGGUGAGACUACCCGCUGAAUUUAAGCAUAUCAAUAAGCGGAGNA
rnacentral:rRNA from 1 species